rnacentral:lncRNA from 1 species
GGAGCUAUUCGAUGAAAUCAGAGAGUUAGUUAUAGGAACAACCUAUGUUGUCUAACUCUUCUUUUGUGUCUUAGUGGUCUAUGCUGGUGUUUACAAACAGGCAGCCACCACUCAGCUCGAUGAAUUUGCCGCCAAGACUUUCGCUAUCUUGACUAAUAAUCACCGCUAUAAGUAAGUCUCAGUUUGCAUGUGUGUUUUUGGAUUUGUUUUAAUUGUUAUAUUCUUUGGAAAGGUAUUUUAAGAGUCUGGAGUUAAUAUUUUGUCAACGUCUGCUAAAUUUGAGUGCUUGAUUAAAUCGAGACAUAAUAUAUAUAAUUAAUUUUCUUUUCUGUUUCUUCAUAUUUUAUGCUGUGUCAGUUUCAGUUUCAUAUCUAAGGAUUUAGAUACAUAAGAAUUUGACAUUGUUAAAUUUCAGUAGGCAUUGGGUUCUUCAUGCUUUAAAUUUAAAGCUUUAUCUCACGUAAGUUAUAUAUGCAGGCCCUUUCAUAACCAGUGCUGUAAACAUUUAGAAUACUUGUUUCUGGAGCCAAAAUUAUGCAAUUAUUAUAGAUCUGUUUCUUUCACUUGAGGUCCGUUCUCUCUUGUUCGUGCUUGCUUCUUUUCAGAUUAAAAAUUUAGUCUUUUACUUGUGUUAUAAAGGGGUAAUAGAGAAAAACAUGUGAUCAUUUUUUUUUUGUUAACUGGAAUAUUUUGAUUCUGAUAUAGGCGAUUACUUUUUUCUAUUUUAUACUUCCAGGUUGAUAGAGCUAUUCUCAAAAAUCUAAGUAAAGGUAAUGGGCCUAACAUAUGCUAGGAUAACUUAUGAAGACACAUUUUAAAGGUAAUUUAGCGUAAUUUAUUUUGUGCAUUUGACUCGGUUCACCUUGGAAUAAGUGGAGAAGAAGAAAAGAUAACAUGUAGAUUUCAUUGGUGUCGAGAAGAUUAACAAAUUGGUAACUGUUCCUAAUGGUGAUAUAUUUCCAGAUUAAUAUGUAUCUUUGUGGUGUUGUUCUUGCAUAUAUCUACUGUUUGAGAUGUU